rnacentral:rRNA from 1 species
AUCUUCCGCAAUGGGCGAAAGCCUGACGGAGAAACGCCGCGUGAGUGAUGAAGGGUUUCGGCUCGUAAAACUCUGUUAUUAGGGAAGAAUAAAUGUGUAAGUAACUGUGCACAUCUUGACGGUACCUAAUCAGAAAGCCACGGCUAACUAAGUGCCAGCAGCCGCGGUAAUACGUAGGUGGCAAGCGUUAUCCGGAAUUAUUGGGCGUAAAGCGCGCGUAGGCGGUUUCUUAAGUCGGAUGUGAAAGCCCACGGCUCAACCGUGGAGGGUCAGUGGAAACUGGGAAACUUGAGUGCAGAAGAGGAAAGUAGAAUUCCAUGUGUAGCGGUGAAAUGCGCAGAGAUAUGGAGGAACACCAGUGGCGAAGGCGACUUUCUGGUCUGUAACUGACGCUGAUGUGCGAAAGCGUUGGGAUCAAACA